GGAGAUGUAGCUCAGUGGUAGAGCACAUGCUUUGCAUACAUGAGGUCCUGAGUUCAAUUCUCAGUAUCUCCA